UGGCGACCGGCGCACGGGUGAGUAACGCGUAUCCAACCUGCCUAUUACCACGGGAUACCCCGGCGAAAGUCGGCCUAAUACCGUAUGCAGUCCUCCAAUGGCAUCAGCAGUGGACGAAAGGUUUAGCGGUAAUGGAUGGGGAUGCGUCCGAUUAGCUUGUUGGCGGGGUAACAGCCCACCAAGGCAUCGAUCGGUAGGGGUUCUGAGAGGAAGGUCCCCCACACUGGAACUGAGACACGGUCCAGACUCC
rnacentral:rRNA from 1 species